rnacentral:rRNA from 1 species
GGGCUCACACAAGCGGUGGAGGAUGUGGCUUAAUUCGAGGCUACGCGAAGAACCUUAUCCUAGAUUUGACAUGCUUGAGAAUUCCUUCGAAAGAAGGAAGUGCCCCUCGGGGAGCUUUUGCACAGGUGCUGCAUGGCUGUCGUCAGCUCGUGUCGUGAGAUGUCGGUUAAGUCCCUUAACGAGCGAAACCCUUAUCUCUAGUUGCCAGCGGGGUAAUGCCGGGGACUCUAGAGAGACUGCCGGUGUCAAACCGGAGGAAGGUGGGGAUGACGUCAAGUCCUCAUGGCCUUUAUGUCUAGGGCUGCACACGUCCUACAAUGGUCGGUACAGAGGGCAGCUACCUAGUGAUAGGAUGCUAA